GAGCAAACUUCCCCCUUCAUUCAAAUGUGCGUUGCACACAUGCGUGGUAAAUCAAUUAAGUGUCACUCCUAUACAUUUUAUGCCAUAUUACCUUUUUUACUCAUGUCACUGGAAAAUAAUGCUGAGCAUUCCGCACUCUAAAAACAAACUACUUGACCAUAUUACGUUCUCACCUUCAACAACACAGCCUGAGAUAUGUUAGACUACCUUUAACAUUUGUUGGAAUGUGUUAGACUAGGCUAUAUAUAUAUAUAUAUAUAUAUAUAUUCAUUCACUUAUGUUAAUGAUGGGCUGUAUAAAAUGUGUGAGAAUACAUUUAAAAAGUUUAACACCGUCAUGUUCGAUGAGAGAAUAGAACGUACGAGAACAUAGAGAUAGCCGAAACCGAAACUCGUCUUCUACAAUUUGUGAAGGGCUUUUUCCGGAAUAACAAAACAAACACAGUCGUGAACUCGUGUUAUGACUAAAGUAGCCUAUAGUAUCGAGAAACGAUUAAUAUAAUCGUAUACAUUACAUGUCUGGGUGAAUAAUACAGCUCAUUUGUCCGAGGGCACCGACUCAGUUGUUAGAAGUACAGAAAGGACCCACGGCCCUCUGUUUGAGGUAGGGGGCCCACAAACAAGAAUGAAGCUGUUUGUCUUUCCUGAGAGCGGUAAAACAUCCUCAACACAAACACUUUCUUGGCCGCACCGCCAGCGAGAGAGGAGAAGCUCACACCGUCAGAAAUGUACACUCCGAAGGAAAGAACAUCAUAGAAAGUGAGUGGUUACACAUAGGAGGACGUCUGCACACACACACACACACACACACACACACACACACACACACACACACACACACACACACACACACACACACACACACACACACACACACACACACACACACACACACACACACACACACACACACACACAGGCACACACGCACACACACAGACAGAGACCUCGGCGCAGGUGCAGUGAAUAUCUCUCUAUUGCUUAACUGUUGCUAGGGGGAAACUGAGGGCACAUUAACUUCACAUGCAGCCCCCUACCCCCGCUCCUCCUCCCCUACCCCUGGGCUAGACAGCAAGGCAUCUGUUUCAGGCCACAGCUUGCACCUCCGACCCCAGGCUCUGUCUGGCCUCCACAUGCAGGCCCUAAAUCAGUGACCACAGAGAGACUACAGAGGUCACCUCCCCUCACCCCCCACAUGGCCAUAUUGUGACAUCCAAGUGUCGCUUCAACAGACUUGUGGUGUGUGGAGUCGGCUUCUGACCCGUGGGACAGAAAUACUGCCUUCAUUUCCUUUUUUCUUUAAAAUGUUCAAUGUCUGUAUGUGUGUUUCUCCACCAGCUUUAUGAAGACCUAUAGAAAAGAAAUGUAGUCAGUGUUCCUACAGAGAAGUUAACCUAUACUGUGGAAAGUUGUGUGCAUACCGUGUUAAGCAUAGUCCUUUUGGUGCACAG